rnacentral:lncRNA from 1 species
CUCUGUGGUCUUCGUGGCAGCCUUACUUCUGGGGCAGCUUGGGCUGCUCCCUCCAGGCUGAGCUGCUGUGGGCACAAGAAGAAAGAUGACUUGAGGACAUCUCAGGAAUCAACAAGACCCCACACAUUGAAGGCUAAAAACUGUCAUGAACCGAGCAGCUUUGCUCCACCCUUCCACCGUAACCUUCCUGCAUUGGAGCCUACCAACCAAAAAUUGAAUCUCCUGAAGUGUGAGGAUGUCCCUGAUUGAUUCCGUAUGCCUUGGAGACCUGCAGUACAUUUGCAUACGGGCAGCUGGGGGAUGGAACAAGAAUCGCAUGGCCAGAGGACCUACCAGGUUUUCCCGCAGGGCUCGCCAGGUUUGACUCAUUACCAGGACUUCUUGUCAGGAGUCUGGCCUCUGCUGACAUAAGUGCUAAUGAAUUUGUAAAUUUGUUUAAAAAUACAAAACAAUCCAGGCUGCUCUAACCUUUGCUGUCGCCACCUACCGCCCAGGUGGGGGCAGUGAGCAGAAACUGCACUUUUUCCUGCCUGAGCUUGUGCAGGUCUUUGAAGCAACUUACCCCCGUCUCGCCCCCUUUCCGGG